GUACACGCUGUGACUAGCAUAUCAAUAAGCGGAGGAAAAGAAACUAACAAGGAUUCCCCUAGUAACGGCGAGCUGAAGCGGGAAGAGCUCAAAUUUGAAAUCUUAAAGGGUUUCCCUUUACGAAUUGUAGUUUAAAGAAGUGUUUUCUGUUGAGGUUUUGGUAAAAGUUCUUUGGAAUAGGACAUCAUAGAGGGUGAGAAUCCCGUAUUUGACCUUUACUUUCAACUUUGUGAUACACUUUCAAAGAGUCGGAUUGUUUGGGAAUGCAGUCCAAAAUGGGUGGUAAAUUUCAUCUAAAGCUAAAUAUUGGCGAGAGACCGAUAGCGAACAAGUACCGUGAGGGAAAGAUGAAAAGAACUUUGAAAAGAGAGUUAAACAGUACGUGAAAUUGUCAAAAGGGAAGCGUUUGACACCAGUAGUUGUUUUUCUGAAAAUCAAUUAAAGAACUGUUUAUGCUAAGCUGUUUAGACUUUAUCAGCUAUCUGUUUAGUUUUGAGCUUUUCUUUAAUGCACUUUUCAGUUAACAAGUCAACAUCAAUUUCUUUUGCUGUAAAAAAGCUUGAGGAAGGUGGCUUGAGAUUCGUCUUAAGUGUUUAUAGCCUCUUGCCUAUGCAGUCGGAGAGAUUGAGGUCUGCAGCGUAGAUCCUUCGGGGCUAAAUGCAUUUGUGCUAAGUUAUAGCAUUUUAUAGACAACUUGUUGACUAUGAUUUGUCUUGUAGCUUACUCGCUUAUGUUAUUUUACCUACGCUUAGGAUGUUGAAGAUGUAGCACAUCAU
rnacentral:rRNA from 1 species